GACGAAGGUGGCAAGCGUUACUCGGAAUUACUAGGCGUAAAGCGCGAGCAGGCGGUUCGGCAAGUCUGUUGUGAAAGCCCCGGGCUCAACCCGGGGAGGUCAAUGGAAACUGCCGGACUUGAAUACGGGAGAGGUCACUGGAAUUCCUGGUGUAGCGGUGAAAUGCGUAGAUAUCAGGAGGAACACCGAAGGCGAAAGCAGGUGACUGGACCGUUAUUGACGCUGAGACGCGAAAGCGUGGGGAGCAAACAGG
rnacentral:rRNA from 1 species